ACUGGCGUCCGCAUCUCCAGAAGCUUCGGCUGCAUCUUUAUCUGUCGCGUAGGGGCGUCACCUCUUAGUUUCUCCGUAACCGGACGCAAGCGGACGGACGGAAUCCAGGGAGAGAGAGAAGUCAUCAGAGAGAUCAAUCAAGAUGUCUCACUCAGGAAAGACAAGGUAUGCGCACUCUCGUUAUGUGUCACCUUCACCUCUAUCUUCACCUUAUCUGCACGGAACUAUAUAUUGA